UCAGCCAGAAUUGGAGUUGAACUUGCAACCAUUGCGACCAUGAUAGCUUUCGCAUACAGGGUACAGGUCUUAACCACUGAUCCACUCCACCCCCAAAUUCCCAACGACAAAGCUUCCUUGAUGUUGCGCUUUCCAAAGUGUGGGCCAUGGCCUACUGGUGGCCCUUGGUGGUACUGCAGACUGAGGGCUCUCAUUGGCUGAGCUGUCCCAACAUGGCAGAGCUUGAUUGGCUGACUCGGACAGCGCCUACACCCGCCCUCCCUUCACCUUUCAAGAUGCUCAGGGCGGGAAAUCAAGUGCUCUUAAAGGACGAUUCUGAUUAUUUUAUCAUUUUUUUGGAGCAACUCUCUUGUUUGAAUGUUACUGCAAAGAUACAGACAACUAUAUAUUUGAAUUGACAUAUUUAAAAGGUAUUAUUAAUAACAAUAUGAUUUUUCAAAUCUUCAUUUGGCUUACAUUUACAAAAAAAUACUUUUAUAAAUACUAUUAUAUUCCUGUUGCUUCACUGUGCAAACAAACACAAUCUAACUUAAAUGUGAAUGCAAAUGUAAGGAACACAACAUUUAAGAUAAGGCUCUUUUUUUCAGACAAAAACAAUAAUUCAAGGCCCACUUAUUAGCUAUUUAUUUAAAAACAGUUUUUGCACACGACACCAGGGUUUCCCAUGUUGGUGUUUGUUGCGUUUGUACCAUGUGUCGGGGACAUCCUACACAAACUAUGUUAAGCCUUAUUUCAAUAUUGGAUGAAUUAUGUCCUUGUCCUUCCUUUAUUUGAUGCAAACCACUUUGAAUUGACUUACUGUUGAAAUGAGAUAAACAAAUAAAGGCACUUUGUGUGUCGAAUAACCUCCAGGGUUUCCUGGUGGUGCCAUAGGAAGCUCAGAGUUUGUUCAGAGGGUAUUCACACAUGAAUUGAUUGAUGACUUAAAAACACACAUUCUACCCAUCAAUCUAAAUGUCCAAACCUGAGAUGAAAUGAUUAUUUUUAUCAUUUAAAUUCAGGUUUGGAAGGCAUCACUGACCCUGUGUGCUCAACUCCUUCACAUAUGUAACUGCUCAAAGUAAGGCUGCAACAAUUAAUUGAUUAGUAAUUGACAAUUAAAUGAAUCAGCAAUUACUUUGAUUUAUCACUUGAGAUGAUUUUAAACAAGUUGUGUGACCCUGUGGAAACGUAAGAAAAUAAAUACACAGGAUCUAUUAUGUUUGACUCUUUUUCUUAAUUAUUUUUGAUUUAUUUUUAUUCUUCGGGAAAUGGUUUUCAAAUAACCCUUAAAGUUUUCUACCACACUA